AUUCCUACGGGAGGCAGCAGUGGGGAAUAUUGGACAAUGGGGGAAACCCUGAUCCAGCAAUGCCGCGUGUGUGAAGAAGGCCUGCGGGUUGUAAAGCACUUUCAGCAGCCAAGAAAAGCCUGAGGCUAAUACCCUCGGGUCUUGACAUUAACUGCAGAAGAAGCACCGGCUAACUACGUGCCAGCAGCCGCGGUAAUAAU
rnacentral:rRNA from 1 species